GAAGAUACAAGUAUCUCGAAAUCUAUUCACAAAACUAUCAGAUGUUUCGAAGAAAUUGGUGGUGUUACAAAUCUUUUGUGGAGAAUCUACAUAUUUCCACUCGCAGAACAGCUCAAAAACAUCAAAUAGAUCAGAAGUCGGUCCUUUGUUGAAGGGAAUUUAAAUGCAAUAUACGAGGAGAAAUGCAAUAUAUGUUGAGAAAUCAAAUAGUUCCUGCGAUAAGGGUCAUAGUUGAUGAAAAUAUUGAGAACACUUGGUUUCAAUGUUGCUGCGCCACAUUAUGGAAGAAAUGUCCAUUACUAUUUAAACGAAGUCUUCGUUGAACGAUGAUUAGGGAGGAGAGGUUCAAUUGAGUUGAGGCCAGUUCAAUUGCCAGACCUCUCACCUCUCGAUUAUUUUCUAUGGGGCUGAAAAGUAAAGUAAAAUUUAUAUGACGAAAGUAAAGUUUAUACGACAAAACCACAAAAUGUACAUGAUUUAUGUCGAAUCCUUGAUGAAGUUGCGUUCAUUCCCAGGAAUUACAUCAGGAACGCUGUUUCAGGAUUUUACAAUCGGAUAGCACACUGUCAAACUGUGAAUGUUGAUUGGCUCAUUCUCCGACCUUAGUUGGCUGGAUCGUCCUCCGAUUUUGCCUUAGUUGAACGGAUCAGCCUUCGAUCUUGCCUUAAUUGGCUGGAUCAUAUUCCGACCUUGUCUUUGGGUGUCUAUUACUUCUUACUGUAAAAUAUUCAAUAACUUUGAA